AAGUCGUAACAAGGUAACCGUAGGUGAACCUGCGGUUGGAUCAUUACCAAAAAAAUAUGAUUCUUAAUCAUUAUUGAUUUUGAAUUUUUAACUCCUGUGCACUAAUGGAUGUUUCUGGCACUAAUUAGUGCCAAAUACUAUUAAACCCUUUUUUUUGACAUUUAAUUUUUUUAAUAAUAUUAAAAACUUUUGACAACGGAUCUCUUGGCUCUC
rnacentral:misc_RNA from 1 species